rnacentral:rRNA from 1 species
AUUGAACGCUGGCGGCAGGCCUAACACAUGCAAGUCGAGCGAGCGGCGGACGGGUGAGUAAAGUCUGUGAAACAGCCUGAUGGCGGGGGAUAAAUAUUGGAAACGGGAGCUAAUACCGCAUCCCAUCAGAGGUGUCCAGAUGGGAUUAGCUAGUAGGUGGGGUAACAGCUCUCCUCGGCGACGAUCCCUAGCUGGGCAGAGAGGAUAACCAGCCACACGGGAACUGAGACACGGUCCAGACUCCUACGGGAGGCAGCAGUGGGGAAUAUUGCACAAUGGGCGCAAGCCUGAUGCAGCCAUGCCGCGUGUGUGAAGAAGGCCUUCGGGUUGUAAAGCACUUUCAGCGGGGAGGCGUUACCCGCAGAAGAAGCACCGGCGAACUCCGUGCCAGCAGCCGCGGUAAUAC